CCUUGACAAGGAGAAAUCUAUAGUGCCAGAAAAACGAGUAUGUUUUCCUGACACUAUAGAAUCCCUUUAAGCAUGUAACUUUUUAAUUUCCUCACGCUUCAAGCAUGUAUCUUUCCAUCUCCUUACACCUUUUGCAUCUUCUCAAACCAUUUGUGUCUAUUUUCGAUCUCUGUUAACAUACUGCACCCGUACCCGCAGAUUCACAGCUUCCCUGUUGUACUCAUAUCUGGUAUUUCUCAGAUUCUCCACCUGCCCCUCAAAGCUUCUCUUUUCUGCUUCUACUUGAGUUUCUACUUGAUUUUCAGCUUCUCUUUUGCAUUUUCCCUAUCCCAAUAUUAUGCAUCGGAACAGGGGAGCCUGAGGGGGGGGAUCUAGCUUCUACUCAUUCGCUGCUAAGAGGGAGCUUGCAGCAUCAGCGGCACUUGUAGGCUUCUGACGCAUGGUCCGUGAGCAGCACUGCUUCAGCGAGCCGCACAAUGAGGAACACUGGGUUAGAUAAACACUACACGCACAGGGUAAGUGAUCCCAUCUGAAAGAAGCAUGUCACUUCUGGUGACGCAACUAAACUCAGUGCGCCUUCCAAGCUUAGUUAGGGGCAGCACCAUUUGAGAAUGUUUCACAACAUACCUGGGGUCCACUUGGUACUCUUCCGCUAGUGCAGGAAACCUCCUGUUACGAGCUUCUGUUAGCUGUCCUGAGCUAAGCCCUGCAGUGCAGAGAACUUCCAGCAGCAGCACAAGAGAUGGUGGCUGGAGCUGCACUGUGAACACCAGGUAAGUGGUAAAAGAAGAAGAGGCCUUCCUGGCACCAUAACCACUGCAGUACUUGGAGUACUUGAUAUAGGUGAUUAUCAAUAUUAUGUUCCAUAAUAUAACCUACAGCUUGCUGGCCGUGAG